rnacentral:rRNA from 1 species
CACCGCGGUUAUACGAGAGGCCCAAGCUGACAGACCUUCGGCGUAAAGGGUGGUUAAAAGUACUUUAACUAAAGCUGAAUGCUUUCAAAGCCGUUAUACGCAAUUGAAAGUAAGAAAUACAUCAACGAAAGUAGCUUUAUUAUAUUGAACCCACGAAAGCUAAGACA